UACGUAGGGGGCGAGCGUUGUCCGGAAUCAUUGGGCGUAAAGAGCGUGUAGGCGGUCCGGUAAGUCCGCUGUGAAAGUCGGGGGCUCAACCCUCGAAUGCCGGUGGAUACUGUCGGGCUAGAGUACGGAAGAGGCGAGUGGAAUUCCUGGUGUAGCGGUGAAAUGCGCAGAUAUCAGGAGGAACACCUAUUGCGAAGGCAGCUCGCUGGGACGUAACUGACGCUGAGACGCGAAAGCGUGGGGAGCAAACAGG
rnacentral:rRNA from 1 species